GCUUUUAUUUAUUAUAGAUUAAUUUUAACGUAGGUGGUUAUUUUAUAUAUUGUGCAAGGAUUUUAUU
rnacentral:tRNA from 1 species